AAUAAGAUGCCUGAUUAAAGGAUUAUUCUGAUAGGAUAAAUUAUGUAAAUUAUUUUUACUCUUAUUA
rnacentral:tRNA from 1 species